AUUGAACGCUGGCGGCAGGCCUAACACAUGCAAGUCGAGCGGAGCGGCGGACGGGGGAGUAAGGCCUAGGAAUCUGCCUGGCCGUGGGGGAUAACGUCAGGAAACGGGAGCUAAUACCGCAUACUAUCAGAUGAGCCUAGGUCGGAUUGGCUAGUUGGAGGGGUAAGGGCCUACCAAGGCGACGACCCGUAGCUGGUCUGAGAGGAUGAUCAGUCCCACUGGAACGGAGACACGGUCCGGACUCCUACGGGAGGCAGCGGUGGGGAAUAUUGGACAAUGGGCGAAAGCCUGAUGCAGCCAUGCCGCGUGUGUGAAGAAGGUCUUCGGAUUGUAAAGCACUUUAAGUUGGGAGGCGUUACCAACAGAAUAAGCACCGGCUAACUACGUGCCAGCAGCCGCGGUAAUAC
rnacentral:rRNA from 1 species